rnacentral:lncRNA from 1 species
CAACGCGAGGCUGCUGUUAUAGGAGUUGACGGUGAUGUGUUGACGAUAUUUCUCUUCGCCCUCUUUCUCCGGACGGGUAUGAAGCUGUCAUCGGAUGAGUCGUCUUCCGACAUAGAGUACAGCUCGGUGUCUUCGGUGUGACUGGGGGAGCCAACUCGCUUCCUUGCGUUUGACGGCCGUGAUGACUGCUGG